GUAGGGAAUAUUGGGCAAUGGUCGGAAGACUGACCCAGCCAUGCCGCGUGCAGGAAGACGGCCCUCUGGGUUGUAAACUGCUUUUAUCUGGGAAGAAAAAGGCCAUGCGUGGCAAAUUGCCGGUACCAGAUGAAUAAGCACCGGCUAACUCCGUGCCAGCAGCCGCGGUAAUACGGAGGGUGCGAGCGUUGUCCGGAUGUAUUGGGUUUAAAGGGUGCGUAGGCGGCUGAUUAAGUCAGCGGUGAAAGACUUCGGCUUAACCGGAGCAUUGCCGAUGAUACUGGUUGGCUUGAGUGUCGGAGGGGUACAUGGGAUUGAUGGUGUAGCGGUGAAAUGCAUAGAUACCAUCAGGAACACCGAUAGCGAAGGCAUUGUACUGGCCGACAACUGACGCUGAUGCACGAAAGUGUGGGGAUCGAACAGGAUUAGAAACCCGGGUAGUCC
rnacentral:rRNA from 1 species